rnacentral:lncRNA from 1 species
GUGGAAGUGCAUGGAAGUGCGAGCAGCAGCGACGUGGUGGUCAUCUCCCUCAACCAGCCUGCUAACGUCGUGGAAAAGAAAGUCCCGGAGCUGGAGAAGUCUUUGGGUGCAGCUCUGGGCUGGACCGUGAACGUCAUAGAGGUGUCGAGCGCUAACGGAGGAUCGUCUGAGUCCAGAACCUGGAGAGCCGCCGUGAAGACUUUGGUCAGCUUCAUCAGUGUGAACGGACAAGACGUUGUUUCUGCCGAAGAAGUCACAAAGAAACUGCAGAGCCAAUCAGCUGCUGUGAGGGCGGAGCUGGUCAAAGUGUUCGGGGAGAGUCUUCAUUUUGACGUGGAGGUGAAGCCUCAGAGCCCCGCCUCCAACCAGGCGGCUGUCAUCGCUCUGGCAACCUUGUUGGCCCUGAGCAUGCUGGGAUUGAUUGUCGCUGUCGCCUUGAUCAUCAGGUGAGACUGGAAACAGUCGUGUCCUUCAGACCGGUUAUGUUACAUAAGAAUCAACUUCAUAUUUAUAGUACGACAGUAUCGUGUUUACAGAUUGUCUCAGAAUCUCGGAAGUCGAAAAAAUUACUAUUUUAAAAAUUAAAUUUAGAUUUUCAAAUCUAAAUUUUAAGAUCAGAUUUCUGAAUUAAUGUCCAUCGUUGUGUUUGAAGACUCCCUUUACCC